rnacentral:tRNA from 1 species
GGCCUCUGUAGCUCAGUUGGUUAGAGCGCUGCAUCGGAAUUGCAGGGCGCAGAUUCGAUUCCUGCCGAGGUCA